rnacentral:rRNA from 1 species
GGGGAGUGAAAUAGAACCUGAAACCGUGUACGUACAAGCAGUAGGAGCAGGCUUUGUCCUGUGACUGCGUACCUUUUGUAUAAUGGGUCAGCGACUUAUAUUCAGUGGCAAGGUUAACCAUCUAGGGGAGCCGUAGGGAAACCGAGUCUUAACUGGGCGUUCAGUCUCUGGAUAUAGACCCGAAACCAGGUGAUCUAGCCAUGGGCAGGUUGAAGGUUGAGUAACAUCAACUGGAGGACCGAACCGACUAAUGUUAGAAAAAUUAGCGGAUGACUUGUGGCUAGGGGUGAAAGGCCAAUCAAACCUGGAGAUAGCUGGUUCUCCCCGAAAGCUAUUUAGGUAGCGCCUCGGACGAAUACUACUGGGGGUAGAGCACUGUUAAGGCUAGGGGGUCAUCCCGACUUACCAACCCUUUGCAAACUCCGAAUACCAGUAAGUACUAUCCGGGAGACACACGGCGGGUGCUAACGUCCGUCGUGGAGAGGGAAACAACCCAGACCGCCAGCUAAGGUCCCAAAUUACUACUAAGUGGGAAACGAUGUGGGAAGGCUCAGACAGCCAGGAUGUUGGCUUAGAAGCAGCCAUCAUUUAAAGAAAGCGUAAUAGCUCACUGGUCGAGUCGGCCUGCGCGGAAGAUGUAACGGGGCUAAGUAGUAAACCGAAGCUGCGGCAAUGUGCUUUUGCACAUUGGGUAGGGGAGCGUUCUGUAAGCGGUUGAAGGUGUGUGGUAACGCAUGCUGGACGUAUCAGAAGUGCGAAUGCUGACAUGAGUAACGAUAAAGGGGGUGAAAAACCUCCUCGCCGGAAGACCAAGGGUUCCUGUCCAACGUUAAUCGGGGCAGGGUAAGUCGACCCCUAAGGCGAGGCCGAAAGGCGUAGUCGAUGGGAAACGGGUUAAUAUUCCCGUACUUCUUACAAUUGCGAUGGGGGGACGGAGAAGGCUAGGUGGGCCUGGCGACGGUUGUCCAGGUUCAAGUGCGUAGGCUUAAGAGUUAGGUAAAUCCGGCUCUUUUUAAGGCUGAGACACGACGUCGAGCAUCUACGGAUGUGAAGUCAUUGAUGCCAUGCUUCCAGGAAAAGCCUCUAAGCUUCAGAUUGUAAGGAAUCGUACCCCAAACCGACACAGGUGGUCGGGUAGAGAAUACCAAGGCGCUUGAGAGAACUCGGGUGAAGGAACUAGGCAAAAUGGUACCGUAACUUCGGGAGAAGGUACGCUCUCGACGGUGAAGUCCCUCGCGGAUGGAGCUAUUGAGAGUCGCAGAUACCAGGUGGCUGCAACUGUUUAUUAAAAACACAGCACUGUGCAAAAUCGUAAGAUGACGUAUACGGUGUGACGCCUGCCCGGUGCCGGAAGGUUAAUUGAUGGGGUUAGACUUCGGUCGAAGCUCUUGAUCGAAGCCCCGGUAAACGGCGGCCGUAACUAUAACGGUCCUAAGGUAGCGAAAUUCCUUGUCGGGUAAGUUCCGACCUGCACGAAUGGCGUAAUGAUGGCCACGCUGUCUCCACCCGAGACUCAGUGAAAUUGAAAUCGCUGUGAAGAUGCAGUGUACCCGCGGCUAGACGGAAAGACCCCGUGAACCUUUACUACAGCUUGGCACUGAACAUUGACCCUACAUGUGUAGGAUAGGUGGGAGGCUUUGAAGCACGUACGCCAGUAUGUGUGGAGCCGUCCUUGAAAUACCACCCUUGUAGUGUUGAUGUUCUAACGUCGACCCCUUAUCGGGGUUGCGGACAGUGCCUGGUGGGUAGUUUGACUGGGGCGGUCUCCUCCCAAAGAGUAACGGAGGAGCACGAAGGUGGGCUAAUCACGGUUGGACAUCGUGAGGUUAGUGCAAUGGCAUAAGCCCGCUUGACUGCGAGAAUGACAAUUCGAGCAGGUGCGAAAGCAGGUCAUAGUGAUCCGGUGGUUCUGAAUGGAAGGGCCAUCGCUCAACGGAUAAAAGGUACUCCGGGGAUAACAGGCUGAUACCGCCCAAGAGUUCAUAUCGACGGCGGUGUUUGGCACCUCGAUGUCGGCUCAUCACAUCCUGGGGCUGAAGUCGGUCCCAAGGGUAUGGCUGUUCGCCAUUUAAAGUGGUACGCGAGCUGGGUUUAGAACGUCGUGAGACAGUUCGGUCCCUAUCUGCCGUGGGCGUUGGAAGAUUGAAGGGGGCUGCUCCUAGUACGAGAGGACCGGAGUGGACGAACCUCUGGUGUUCGGGUUGUGUCGCCAGACGCAUUGCCCGGUAGCUAAGUUCGGAAUCGAUAACCGCUGAAAGCAUCUAAGCGGGAAGCGAGCCCUGAGAUGAGUCUUCCCUGAUACUUUAAGUAUCCUAAAGGGUUGUCGGAGACUACGACGUUGAUAGGUCAGGUGUGUAAGUGCUGUGAGGCAUUGAGCUAACUGAUACUAAUUGCCCGUGAGGCUUAACCAUACAACACCUAAGGGGUUU